AACGAACGCUGGCGGCAUGCCUAACACAUGCAAGUCGAACGAGACCUUCGGGUCUAGUUGCGCACGGGUGCGUAACGCGUGGGAACCUGCCCUUAGGUUCGGAAUAACUCCCCGAAAGGGGUGCUAAUACCGGAUAAUGUCUUCGGACCAAAGAUUUAUCGCCAUUGGAUGGGCCCGCGUUGGAUUAGCUAGUGGGUAUGGUAAAAGCCUACCAAGGCGACGAUCCAUAGCUGGUCUGAGAGGAUGAUCAGCCACACUGGGACUGAGACACGGCCCAGAAUCCUACGGGAGGCAGCAGUGGGGAAUAUUGGACAAUGGGCGAAAGCCUGAUCCAGCAAGGCCGCGUGAGUGAUGAAGGCCGUAGGGUUGUAAAGCUCUUUUACCCGGGAUGAUAAUGACAGUACCGGGAGAAUAAGCUCCGGCUAACUCCGUG
rnacentral:rRNA from 1 species